CAAUUUUAUAGAAUUACAUUGAAUCUGUAGAUUGCUUUGGGCUAUAUAGACAUUUUAAUGAUAUUGAUUAUUCCUGUCUAUAAGCAUGGAACGUUUUUCUCUUUGUGUCAUCUGUGAUUUAUUUCAUCAGUGUUUUGUAGUUCUCCUUGUAGAGGUCUUUCAUCUCCUUCAUUAAAUUAUGUCUUGGUAUGUUACUAUUUUGUGACUAUUGUAAAUGGGAUUGAGUUCUUGAUUUCGUUCUCAGCUUGAGUGUUGAUGUACAGAAAUGUGACUGAUUUUUGUGCAUUAAUUUUGUAUCCUGAAACUUUGCUGAAAUCCUUUACCAAAUUGAAGACUCUUUUGUAGAAAUCUUUAGGAUUUUUCUUGCUAUAGGAUUUUGCCAUCAGUGAACAGGAUAUCUUGAAUUCUUCUUUUCUCCUUUUGAUUCCUUUUAUUUCUUUCUCUUGUCUGAUUGCUCUGAGUGGCACUUUCAGUACUGUGUUGAAUAGGAGUAGUAAGAGUGCUUGUCUUGUACUAGUUCUUAGGGGAAAUACUUUCAACUUUUCCUGAUUCAGUAUGAUGUUGGCUGUUAUUUGUCAUAUAUGGCUCUUAUUAAUUUGAAGUAUGUUUCUUUGAUGCCUAGUUUGUUGAGGGCUUUUAUCAUAAAGUGAUGUUUGGUUUUAUCAAAUGUUUUUUCUGCAUCUAUUUAGAUGACCAUAUGGUUUUGGUUUUAUUUUUGUUUAUGUUGUGAAUCACAUUUAUCAAUUUGCACAUGUUGAACCAUCUUCACAUCCCUAGAAUAAAACUCACUUGAUCAUGAUAGAUUAUCUUUUUGAUGUGCUAUUAAAUUUAGUUUGCAGGUAUUUUAUUGUCAAUUUUUGUGUCUAUAUUGAUCAGGGAUAUUAGCCUGUAGUUUUCUUUUUUGUUGUGUCCUUGCCAGAUUUUGAUAUAAGAAUAAAACUAGUUUUGUGAAAUGUGUUAGGAAGGAAUCCCUUCUCCUAAAUUUUUUGCAAUAGUGCGGUAAGAUUGAUACCAACUCUUUUUUGUGCUUUUGGUAAAUUUGGCUUUGAUUUCAUCUAGUUCAGGGCUUUUUUGGUUGGUAGGUUUUUUAUUACUGAUUCAAUUUCAUAAAUCAUUAUUGGUCUGUUUAGGAUUUCAGUUUCUUCCUAGUUCACGUUUUGAAGGUGGUGUGUUUUCAGGAACUUAUCCACUUCCUCUAGGUUUUCUAGUGUAUGUGCAUAGAGAUAUUUAUAGUCUCUGAGAAUCUUUUGUAUUUCUGUUUUAUCAGUUAUAAUGUCAUCUUUAUUAUUUCUGACUAUACUUAUUUGAACCUUCUCUCUUUCUCUCUUUUUUUUUUUUUUUUUUUUUUUUUUUUUUGGGUAAUCUAGCUAGUGGGCUUCUAAUCUGGUCAGGUGGUGAUAAAUUCCCUUAGCAUUUGCUUGACUGAGAAAGACCUUAUUUCUUCUUUAUUUAGGAAGCUUAGUUUGGCCAGAUAUAAAAUUCUUGGCUGAUAUUUUUUUUUCUUUAAGAAGGAUAAAAAUAGGCUCCCAAUUUUGUCUGGCUUUUAAGGUUUCUGUUGCAAAGUUUACUACUAAUCUGAUAGGAUUUCCUUUAUAAAUAAUUUGUUCUUUUUCUGUAGAUGCCCUUAAGAUUUUUUUUUAUCAUUGACUUUGGAUAGUCUGAUGACCAUAUGCCUUUGUGAUGCUUAUCUCAUUUAGUAUCUCACAAGUGUUCUCUGAAUUUCUUGAAUCUGGAUAUCCACCUCUCUAGCAAGAUUAGGGAAUUUUUUCUGGAUUAUUCUCCUAAAUAUAUUUUUCACAUUGCUUAUUUUUUCUUAUUCUCUUUCAAUAAUGCCUAUAAGUCAUAGGUACAGUCACUUUACAUAAUCCCAUAUUUCUUGAAGUCUAUAUUCAUUUUUUAAAAUUCUUUUUUAUUUAUUUUGGUCUGACUGGCUUUAUUCAAAAGACCACUCUUCAAUCUCUAAAAUUCUUUCUUCUGCUUGGUCUAGUCUAUUGUUAAAGCUUCCAACUAUAUUUUGAAAUUCACUUAGUUAAUUUGUCAAUUCCAGAAGUUCUAUUAUUUUAAUAUAGCUAUUCCAUCUUUCAUAUCCUAAAUUGUUUUUCUGUUUUUGUAUGUGCUGGUUUUCAACUUUCUCUUUUAUCUUAUUGAGUUUCCUGGCAGUCCAUAUUUUGAUUUAUUUAUCUGUCAUUUCAGACUUUUUAUUUUGAUUAAGAGUCAUUACUAGAGAGCUAGUAUAAUCCUUUGGAGGUAUCACUAUACUCUGUUUUUUGCACUGCUGGAAUUCUUGCACUAAUUCCAUCUCAUCUGAAGGAGCUGUUCCUUCUUAUUUUUGAAUCUGCUAUUGUUUGAAUGGGACUUUUAUAUUUUUAAAUUCUUUUUUUCCCAUGAGGGUAUGACUGUAGUUUAUGUUUUGUAUGAUUGUUUAACUUUAUUUCUAGGUUGUUUUAGAAGGCCAAGUAUUUGUAUGGGUUCCUUGGUUGGGGUUUUUGUUUGUUUGUUUGGUGGUUUUCGUUGAUACUACUUGUUUCGCAGUAGAUUGGAUGCAUGAACCAACAAUUCUCUCCUGCAGGGCUGAGAAUGUGCAGGUAUCAGGAUGCUUAUCUACUGCACUAGCACUAUGCACUUCUGGAAGCAAGUUUUUUAUUUGGUUGUGCAGUUCAAGCUUCAGUUCAGUAGGUGGCAGUUAAUUGUAAGAGCUUGAUUGCCCUCAGGUAGGUGAUGAUGAGUAGAAGCACCUGCUCUCAUGUGGCCAGUGGUGGUGGGAGAUUGUGUUGGAGUGUGCUAAGGUAUUCUGGGCUGGACUUGGGGAAUGCAACACCUCCUCAUUGUGGGAAGACAAUAAUUCAAUCCACUUCCCUAUCACACCCCUGUCACAGGGCUCAGGACUUUCAGUUUAUACAGACUUCGUCCUGUGUGGCUGUGGACUACAAAUAUGCCCCUCUAGCAGCUUUCACCUAACUGGGCUCAGGGCAGAGCCUUUUCUCAUAGUCCAGAACUGACUACUCUGGCUUGUCUGCCUCUGUUGCUGGGAUGCUGUUACUCUGUGUAGGAAGCAGGAAUUGAGCACUAUCCUUCAUGCAAGAACUAGCUGCACAAACUCACUUUCAACUGGGAUAGAACUGCCACAGGAAGGGCUGGAAUGGCUUUCUCCAAGUGCAUACAUCCACCCCCAGUGAGAAGAGUCUCUGCUGUGUUUGCAACAGUGAACAAGGAAAGCAUGGAGAUGACCCCGUCUCCUUGCCCUUCUGUGUCAACAAUUCAUAAAACAUUAUGAUAAUCAUAUGAGGAGGAGGAAACUAAAAACUAAACAAAUGAACCUUUGUUAUCAUCUGCUUCAAAGAUACUACCAAAAAAUUACUAAGAAAGAUGAAUGAAUUCAGUAAAUAACUUCACAAGUUUGUAUUUAGUGGUUUGCAAUACUUAUCACUGCUUCUCAAUCACCUUAAAGAUAUCUCUGUGACAGUUGAAAAAUAUACACCUGAACUAGUUAAUACUUUUAAAUGUUCUGCCUUAAUUCAUUAUCUUCAUACCAGAUAUAUGUUAUAUAUAAUAUAUUAUUGAAUUUAAUUUUAUUGAGAUUAUUUUUACUACAUUUUGUUAUUUGCUGUCUCUUCAGUGGCUUCCUUUACCCUCUAUCCAGAUUAAAGACAAUCAUAGUAUUUUAUCUCUAGGGCAAGAAUUUACGUAAUUUAAAUAAAGUAAUUUUUAAAUUUUUCUCACACCAAUGAUUCUGUGUUUAAGUAUUGUGUUAUGCGCUGUUAAUUUUCAUCUUUUCUUUAUAAUGUGUUUUAAUCUAUUUUCAAUGUAAGCUUGAAAGCACCAAAAAAUAUUGAUGUUUCAUGUCUUCCAGGACAUUCCUACAUUGAUUGUCAAGGUGUUGAAAUUUCCACCAUGUAGUUUUUUCUCCACACUCACAGAGAGGCUCACGGUAAACCUCCUAAAGCAUCUUAUUAAAAGAGAAACGCUACAGCCAUAGUCACAGAUGAGCUCUGGUGACUAAAAUCCCACCUACCACUACUUGACUGUUGCGGUCCCUGAAGCCUACAAAAUCGCAGAAUGAUUGCUGGUUCUCAAACCUCUAGGUUACUUUAUGAUUGGGAAUUUUACAUAUAUCCAUUGCCUGAAAUGCCCUUAGCAUCUAUUACCCUUUGAGACUUAGCUUCAAUAUCAAGUAAUGAAGCCUUUCUUAAGUACCUAGAGAAAAUCAGUUUUCCGGUCUUUCAUGCUACCUUUGUACACACAGCUUUCUGUUGUUACCUUUUCAAAUCAAUCAUUUCACCAUUAUUUCUCUAUGCAUUCAUUCAUUAUUUCAACAAAUAUUUAUCGGGUGUUUAAUAUGUUUAUAGCCAUGUGCUAAGCACUGAGGUUAUACUUUGUCGUGACUCCAUGGUUAAACUCCACAGGGACAAGAUCCACACAAAUAUUCUGUGUGAAGGACACAUAAAUAGUUUGGGGGUACAUCAUGCCUAUGACUGAUAUGAAGAAGGUGUAAACAAAUGUAUAUUGAAUUAAAGAAUACCUUAAAUAUUUGUUUGUAAGAGAUAUAGUUUUAGGAUUUGUUACAAUAGUUAGAAAAGGGUUUCAUGAAUAUGGAAUGAAAGCUUAGACUGCAACUGUUUUACAAAGCGCUUUUAAAAGUAACUACUAAAAUAAUCUAGUAACACUUUUAGAGUCAUUUAGAAAAGAAUAAAAUAAUCUUAGCCUAGCUAACAGGAUGUUCCAAUAAAACUAUUGUGAAGUGGUAGGACUCUUGAUUAUGGUGAGAAUGGGUCAGAAUGGAUGAAUCAACACAUUUGUGUAAAGAAUAAUAUCUAGAAAUGAUGACAAUGUAUAUUUGAAAGAAAAGAGUAUUAAAAAUGUCUUUAAAUUUUCCAAUUUGUUGUACUCAUAGGAAAAUAGGAGGUGAAAAUGAAAUACUUAGAGAUGGUGUCUUAAUUUAUUUCAAGAAUUUGAGGUAAAAAGGAACUGCUCUGCCCUGUUAAUAUGUGAGAUGAGCAAUUUAGGAGGGAGGUCAGACUGGAAAAGUGAAUUUACUGAACACCAUGAUAGUCAUGUUGUUUAAUGACUUAAGAAUAGACAGUAAAAGAGGUUCUCCUAUCAUAGCCCUACAUCCUCUGGAAAUACAUGCUACAUUAAAAUUUAUAUUUCUAUUUCCAUAUGCUUGGUAUGACUAAUGGCAGAAACUGUGAAGAAUCCUAGGAGAAAAAUGGUCUGCAUUUGCUUCAGACUUAUUGCAAAGUGUAUGUAUGAAGGAAAACAUUACUUCUAAUUCUACCAGACCAUCACCUGCAUGAGUCCCUGUGAUGCUUCCCAAAUCCAUCCAAAUGCUUAACUGAAGCUUGAAUUUAUUAUUUUCAAGUUCGAUGUAAAAGUUCUUCUUUUUAAACUUGACACUGUAUACUGUGGCUUAAAUAUUUAAGCAAGGCUCUUUCGAAGAUUGAGGAAGAAACACUCACACAUCAAAAGUAUCUAAUGUUUAAUUCAGCGAGGUAAGCUUUCUCAAACUCUGAAGCUUAUGUGAAGCUGUUUGGAAUUUUUUCAAAGGUCUUUUAUCUCUAAAUCAAAACAGAAUUUUUUUUAAAAAAAUUAUAAUAAUUCUUCAAAACAGAAAUAACUUCUGUCAGAGUUCUUUGGUUUCUACCUAAAAGAAACAGUUACGUGGCAAUUGUUUAUUUAUUUCUACAUGAACCCAACAUGUUCAAAUUCUAAAAGAUUUAGACAAGCUUGCUUCAGUCAUACAUAAAGAUUUUGAAAACUUAUUAUUCAAGCCAACUAAGAUUCUUGCUAGAAAACUCAAACAAAGAACAAUAAUUGGUUUGAAAACUGCAGAAUAUACUUUGUAGAUUAUGACUCUUCAUUGAUAAACAGAUAAGUAAACACCCACAAAUCAAUAUGUAAACAAUAGAACUGGCUAUUAAGUUUUUGCUAAAAGAUCUUCCUUGAGAGAGUUUAUAGAAUUUGCUAAUUUUUUCUUUUUUGUCUUAUUUAAUGUUAGUUAUCAAAGCCAAGUCUUCCCAGACCCUUACUAAUUAAUCUCAACAAUUUGUUUUUGAAAUUUUGAAAACAUAGAAAUAUUAGGAGAAUCUCCACUGGAGUGAUUCAAGAGAGUUCUAAAACAUGGAGACUGACAAAAACAUUCAGAUAGAAAUCUGCAGUUAAUAGUAAUAAAAUGACGGCAGUCACUGUGAUGAUAUGAUAAUUGUGAUGAUUAGGCUGCUGGUUUGGAAUCCUGGAUAAAUCUCUUAAACUAGCUUUAUGGCUUUUAGCAAGUUAUGUAACCUUUGAAAUAUUCACCUGGUUUUUAAAACCACAUUCUGUGGAUGUAAGAUCUAAAUAAGAUAACCCAUAUAAAUAAUGUAGUAUGUCUCGCACAUACUAAGCGCAUGCUAAGACUUUCCCCAUGCUUUCUUUUUUUUGGCUUCUUUUAUUAUUAUUAUUAUUAUUAUACUUUAAAUUCUAGGGUACACUUGCACAACAUCCAUGUUUUAAGUCUCCACCCACUUGUCCUUGAAAAUUCUAAUCUCUUUUGUUUACCAAGGCCAGUGAUAAUGAAGUCUUAUGAUAAAACCUGUUCCUAUAACAUUCCUUCUAGUCAUUACACAUUUUAAUCUCUCGUUUAUUAAGUUAGGUGCCUGUAAUAAUAACAUUUUCUAGAAUAUUUUUUACUGCUUUUAGCAUGGCUAACUUUUUUCACCUUUCCUUCAGUAAAUGCUGCCUCAUUUUAAGGUUUAUUCUGAACACCCA
rnacentral:lncRNA from 1 species